GGUUUCAUAAUGUAGCAGUUAGCACGUCUGCUUUACACUCAGAAGGUCCUGGGUUCGUGCCCCAGGGGAGCCA
rfam:Pteropus alecto contig164974, whole genome shotgun sequence.